GGUUCAUUCAAAUUUCUGCCCUAUCAACUUUCGACGGCUGGGUCUUGGCCAGCCAUGGUGACAACGGGUAACGGAGGGUUAGGGCUCGACCCCGGAGAAGGAGCCUGAGAAACGGCUACUACAUCCAAGGAAGGCAGCAGGCGCGCAAAUUACCCAAUCCCGACCGGGGAGGUAGUGACAAUAAAUACUGAUACAGGGCUCUUUUGGGUCUUGUAAUUGGAAUGAGUACAAUUUAAAUCCCUUAACGAGGAACAAUUGGAGGGCAAGUCUGGUGCCAGCAGCCGCGGUAAUUCCAGCUCCAAUAGCGUAUAUUAAAGUUGUUGCAGUUAAAAAGCUCGUAGUUG
rnacentral:rRNA from 1 species